UACGAAGGGGACUAGCGUUGUUCGGAAUCACUGGGCGUAAAGCGCACGUAGGCGGAUAUGUCAGUCAGGGGUGAAAUCCCGGGGCUCAACCUCGGAACUGCCCUUGAUACAGCAUAUCUUGAGUCCGAUAGAGGUGGGUGGAAUUCCUAGUGUAGAGGUGAAAUUCGUAGAUAUUAGGAAGAACACCGGUGGCGAAGGCGGCCCACUGGAUCGGUACUGACGCUGAGGAGCGAAAGCGUGGGGAGCGAACAGG
rnacentral:rRNA from 1 species